rnacentral:lncRNA from 1 species
AUUCAACAGUUUUAUUUGCUGUUGGGGAAUGAAGGGAACAGGAAGGAAUGACAUGGAGGGGAAGGAAGCUCCUUACUCCCGUCACUAAGCUGCUGCUUGAAUUUCUCCAUCCUCCAAGACUGUCAAGAAUCUGACAGCUCUGCUAACGAAAGCUGCAGACCCUCGGUUCGGUUCCAUCGCCCUUUCUCUGGGCUGGUGUGUGAAGCUCCGGAUCUGUGACCUCACUAGAAUCAGUGUGCGCAAGAGGAUCAGCAAUGCAGGGCAAAGAUGACUGGUGAGACACACGUCUACACAAACGCAUACAGGUAUACAAAAAGCAACAAGAGUUUAAUUCUCUUUUUACAUGGCCACAGGCUCUCUUCAGUCAGGGGAACUUCAGCUGGUGCCUCUCUCUUGCAGCUAUGAGGCGACAGUGUGGUGACAUGCCUCAUACAGACUGUCCCAGUAAGCCAGGACAAGUCACCAUUAAAAUCUUGCACGAACAGCCCUGGGCACGUGGGAAUGGUAAGAAAGAGCCACCGCCUCCUUAGUCAGCUUAACCACAGCUCCAAACGCAGUUUGUCCCAGCUGGCAAACGCCUCAAACACCAAUCAUGCGUCGUGCUCCUAUUCUGGGUUUUUAUAAAACACUUUUAUAUAGAGAUAUAGAUAGCACAGUAAAUGUGCUUAUGAUGCACUCUAACAUAGAGGACAGGAAUACACACUGUGGGGCGCCGCCCCAGCCGUCUCCACAGUGGAGAAAGUGCGAGGGUUAAAUACACGUGGCGGGGUGGCAGACGGCAGGAAGUUAGAGAGCGCCACGCUCCACGUCCUUCCACGCGACUGACUCAUCCAACACUCAGAACUCACCUUCUUUAUCCCCUUGGUGGGUAGGAGCAGUAACAAAACAAUGUCAGUCAUUUUCUAAGGGUGGAGGAUGUCAAACUGUCUGGUACCGAGAGAGCAAUUCUUAUCCAGAAAUCAUCUAGAAAUAAUUGUUGAAGGUCAGCCUGGCCCAUGGCCCCAGGCUAAGGGCUGCUCUGUAAAGGGCGGGACUGGCUCUGGGGGUCUAGGGCUGAUGCAGUAUCUCUCAGACACUUGCACAUUCACACACCCACACGCCCCAGGGGAAAGUGCACUUCCAAUGCUGAUACAAAAAUAGAUUGGCACACUCUUUGACACAGUGAGGGUAUCUUUUAAAAGUUUUCCCCCAAUUUCUGCAGACUCUCUUCCCCCGUAUGCUCAAGCCCCUCACACUCCAAGUUGGAACAGAUCUGGAGAAGGCCCUGGACCACGCUUGCAAAGUUUGUGAAUGCCGGGGAGAAAGACUGGGCUGGCGUAGCUAGGGAUUCUCGCUAGUGGACAGAGGGUAGGGCCUCUCUGUUCUCAGCACGCACCUCCUCUUCCCUUGCUUGAGGAGUCCAUAGCUCAUGGCUCCUCUUGGCUACACACCCAAGACUCCUUGGAAAGUUUCUAGUACUGCUUCUCCCCAAACUAUGUCGAGAGGAAGAAAAGUCUGGUAUUCUGAGUUCUACUUUUUUUCAUUUCCAGUAGUAAGUAAGUGCUGCUCCACCAAGCUGAGAAGAAAUGGCCCUUGGCUGUCCUCGGGGCCAGUGCUAGGAACUCUGGACCAGCCGUCUGUAGUGGGGCAUGACUUCGUGCUCGGGCAAGUGGAGGGCGAAUUCCAAGGCCACUAACACCGGGAAUUCAAAGGCAAUCAGUUCUCGCCUGUUCAGCCGGAACUUCUCUUCCAGUUUCUGCAACAAAAAGAAAAUCAAAAGCAUGUUCAUUUUGAAAUUAAAAUCCUAGUCUUUCUGCAAUUGCAGCUUCUCUAUCCACCAGCCAGUGAGUGCUUAGGAG